rnacentral:siRNA from 1 species
AGGAAGAGUGCCUUCAUGAUCCA